AGAGUUUGAUCAUGGCUCAGGAUGAACGCUAGCGGCAGGCCUAAUACAUGCAAGCCGAACGGUAAGUUUGAUAGCAAUAUUGAACCUAGAGUGGCGUAAGGGUGCGUAACACGUAUGCAAUCUACCCGCAACAGGAGGAUAGCUCCCCGAAAGGGGAAUUAACCCUCCAUGAGAUCACACGAGGGCAUCUGAGAGUGAUUAAAUCUGAGGAGGUUGUGGAUGAGCAUGCGACUGAUUAGCUAGUUGGCAGUGUAACGGACUACCAAGGCGAUGAUCAGUAGGGGAACUGAGAGGUUGAUCCCCCACACUGGCACUGAGAUACGGGCCAGACUCCUACGGGAGGCAGCAGUAGGGAAUAUUGGUCAAUGGGUGAGAGCCUGAACCAGCCAUGCCGCGUGCAGGAAGAAGGCCUUCUGGGUUGUAAACUGCUUUUGCCGGGGGAUAAAAUAGCUUUGCGAAGCUAAUUGAAGGUACCUGGUGAAUAAGCCACGGCUAACUACGUGCCAGCAGCCGCGGUAAUACGUAGGUGGCAAGCGUUGUCCGGAUUUAUUGGGUUUAAAGGGUGCGUAGGCGGUUGAUUAAGUCAGUUGUGAAAUACGGCAGCUUAACUGUCGAGGUGCAAUUGAUACUGGUUGACUUGAGUACAGACGAGGUAGGCGGAAUUGACGGUGUAGCGGUGAAAUGCAUAGAUAUCGUCAAGAACACCGAUAGCGAAGGCAGCUUACUAGACUGUAACUGACGCUGAGGCACGAAAGUGUGGGGAUCAAACAGGAUUAGAUACCCUAGUAGUCC
rnacentral:rRNA from 1 species